rnacentral:rRNA from 1 species
UAUGGAGGGGGCGAGCGUUAUUCGGAAUUAUUGGGCGUAAAGGGCGCGUAGGCGGCUGAACAAGUCAAAGGUGAAAUCCCUCGGCUCAACUGAGGAACUGCCUUUGAAACUGUUCGGCUUGAGGCCGGGAGGGGGUAGCGGAAUUCCCAGUGUAGCGGUGAAAUGCGUAGAUAUUGGGAGGAACACCAGUGGCGAAGGCGGCUACCUGGACCGGUUCUGACGCUGAGGCGCGAAAGCGUGGGUAGCAAACAGG